AGUGAACGCUGGCGGUAGGCCUAACACAUGCAAGUCGAACGGCAGCACAGUAAGAGCUUGCUCUUACGGGUGGCGAGUGGCGGACGGGUGAGGAAUACAUCGGAAUCUACUUUUUCGUGGGGGAUAACGUAGGGAAACUUACGCUAAUACCGCAUGCGACCUACGGGUGAAAGCAGGGGAUCUUCGGACCUUGCGCGAUUGAAUGAGACGAUGUCGGAUUAGCUAGUUGGCGGGGUAAAGGCCCACCAAGGCGACGAUCCGUAGCUGGUCUGAGAGGAUGAUCAGCCACACUGGAACUGAGACACGGUCCAGACUCCUACGGGAGGCAGCAGUGGGGAAUAUUGGACAAUGGGCGAAAGCCUGACCCAGCCAUACCGCGUGAGUGAAGAAGGCCUUCGGGUUGUAAAGCCCUUUUGUUGGGAAAGAAAAGCAGCAGGUUAAUACCCCGCUGUUCUGACGGUACCCAAAGAAUAAGCACCGGCUAACUUCGUG
rnacentral:rRNA from 1 species